AUUCAUGCUUCAGAAUAAUUUGUUUCUUUAAAGCUAAACAUUCACCACAUAUUACUUUCUACAUAAUUAGUGUGAACAGUGAUGUAAUUGUGAAUCCUGAUAUGUAUGAGAU